rnacentral:rRNA from 1 species
GCUUGUCUCAAAGAUUAAGCCAUGCAUGUCUAAGUGUAAAUAAGUCUAUACUGUGAAACUGCGAAUGGCUCAUUAAAUCAGUUAUCGUUUAUUUGAUGAUCUCUUACUACUUGGAUAACCGUAGUAAUUCUAGAGCUAAUACAUGUCUUACGGCCCGACUCUUUGGAAGGGCUGCAUUUAUUAGAUCCAACCGACCCCUCACGGGUUCCUGGUGAAUCAUAAUAACUGAGCGAACCGCAUGCGUAAGCGGCGGUGGUUCAUUCAAGAUUCUGCCCUAUCAGCUUUCGAUGGUAGGGUAUUGGCCUACCAUGGCGUUAACGGGUAACGGAGAAUUAGGGUUCGAUUCCGGAGAGGGAGCCUGAGAGAUGGCUACCACAUCCAAGGAAGGCAGCAGG